UGUUUGCAGGUCAGCAAUGUUAAAGAUCUUUCUCAGUAAAAACUCAAUCAUCAUCCUUCCCUUUUGAGCAGUUUUUUGGCAUCUGCUCUAAUUAUUGUUCACAGGUCAGCAAUGUGAUCACCUUAUAUUUGUAGAACUUUUUUCAGAAAAAAAAAAAAAGAUCAAUUAUCCAUUCCCUUUCAAACAGUUUCUUGGCAGACUACACGAG
rnacentral:lncRNA from 1 species